rnacentral:tRNA from 1 species
AUCUGCAGUGUCAGUGCUCGAUGAGGUAGCUUGAACGAACUAGACAUAGGACUCAGGGCGUUGGUAUAUAGCUGUCUCAUUCUCCCGUCAAUUCUGCCAUCAUUA